CCUGUCUCUAGAGGCAAUGCAGGUGUGGCUGCUGUGUCACAUGUGCGUCAGUAGGGGGCAGAGAAGAGAGAGCCUAUGUCUACACAUAGUGUUCUGGCUUGGAACAUCUGAGUGAUCAGCAGCCUAACACU